CACAUGCUCUCCGUCAGGCUGCACAUCAGCUGAGAGUCAUGUUUGUUCAGGGUUGUUUUCCAUAUUAAGCAAGCAGCUUGAGGUAAACAAGAGGAAACAGAGCUUCUACACAUAACAGCGCCUCUCAGGGCCAGAACAGCGCUAGCAGCACGCCGCAUCAAUUUGCCGUCCUCUCCUCCAGCUGUCUGGGCCUUGUGAAGGGCUUCUGCUGAAACGGCGCUAACAGCUUCUGCUGGAAAAGCUCCAGCAAAUGAGCGUCACAAAACUCAGCAGGGAAGAUCAGCGAAUGAUUACUCCUUUACUCCAAUUUCAUUUCAGUCUUUUUGUCUUUUUCAUGCAGUGAUAUUUGUCAGUCGUGAAUCUCAAAUACAGUACUAUGAAAGCUGCUGAAGACAAACCAGCGCAAGACGAACCUGUAUUGAAUUAGACAAUGUUGCAAGAUCAGUUAAUGAAAUAUUGAUAAGAACAUUCCUUCAACACAUGCUGCAGCAGCUGUUCUGGGCUUGGUAUGGAUCAAGGCUAUGGCUAUGGCUUUCCUGUAGAUGGUCAUAAAUUAAGGUGCAGCAAUCCUCUUGAAGUAUACUACAAGAAACAACAACAGCUAAAGGCCUUAAAGAACAGUAAAUAAUUGAAUGCUUGUACUGCUAUUCUUCUGCAUACACUCUACAGUUUCAGGGUCUCAAUUUAUUUUAUUUUUCAAUCAUUUAGUAAAUUUGUGUGAUUUUUUUUUUUGAUAGACCAAACUGAGCUAAAAAUUCCCACCAGAUUUACAAAAAUUAUUCUCUCAUUCUUUGUACUUGCAUAUAUGUUUAGAAACUAUAUCAGCAAUAAAUGACCAAACUCAUUCGCAACACAGCUAAUUUACAUUUACAUGACAAAACUCCUUAUACAACAAAGCUCACAGAGAGCUUGACAAAAGGAUAUUAAACACUUGUGCGCUAAUACGUCCAAUAAUGCAGCUCAGCCACCGCAGCGAAUCAGCUACCAAAGACAUACACCAACGCUUCCCCCUUUUAUAGGGCACCAUUACUUUUGUUCUAAUUGACUGGUUAGUCUUAUUUGUCUUAAUUUAUGGAUUUGAGUUGGAUUGUUUAAUUCAAGUCAUUUCACAAAAUUUUCAUAAAAUUUGUUUAUGUGAUUUAAACAAAUAAGCGAUAUAAAUUUGACUGUAAUUCAUAAAUAAAAUCUCAGUAACUCAUGUCUAAUUAUAUGAUUUGAAGUCAAUCUGUCUAGAUUAGUUAGUUAAACAGGUUUUUGUCAGUGCAGGGGGAUACAUCAUAGUCCUUGUCAAAGAUAAUCACACUACAGAUGCAGUGGAUAGAGAUUAGUUGAAAAACACCAAAAUGUUUCCUUUAACGAAUAAUCAUAAUAACAGACUAAUAUUAAACACAGGACUUUCUCUAUGAUGAUUGAUUAUAAUAGAACCAAAGCUUAUGUGUGUAUGUGUGUGUGCUCCUCUCUCUUCUCUUAGCUGAAACUCAAACUGAUUCAGUGCUGUCAGACUCCACUGAAAUGGCUAAUUGUCAGAGGCCAUUAGCAGUGCAUCAGUCAGGCAGCAGCGCCUGGUACUUACUGUUAGCCGCGCUCCCAGUUUCCUGUUGGCAGUCAAUAAUCAGGAAACUGCUGUGUCAUCUUACAUUUGAAGCGCACCACCAUAUGGCUGCAGGAUGUUCUCAUUAACAACAACAGGGAAAAUACAUUAACCAUAAUCUCAGCAGGGUUAACCAACAUUUUCACUAUUUAUAAAUCACACAGAUACAGAGAGACAGUUAUCAUGAAUGGCCUUGAAUGAACUGACAAUAUAUCAAUAAAUAAUCAUAUAAAAUGAUGCCAGUACAUCAUGGAACAUCAUGAUGGAAACGGAAACAUAACUUAAUAGUGUGUGUAUUAAAGUCACUUAUUUAUUUAUUUAUUUUUUUAAAUAAACCCCUUUUUCACUGAAGGCCUAUUAACACCAGGCAAGAUAUUCACAUUGCAUAUUUAUACUUAGUGACACCCAGAAAUAACAAAAUGAUGACUAAAUGGUGAGAGUGUGGGGAAUGAAGCCAAUAUUCCAAUAAUGCAGCUUGCUAACUCCUCCUCCUUUUAUAGGGUACCAUUACUUUUUUUUUUUUAAUCCUGAUUGAUUACUUGUCUUCAUUUAUUUAUGGAUUUGUUUUAAAUUACAUACAUUUUCAUUGAAU